CAAAGGGCCGUCCUAAUAAAUGCGCGAGGGAAACCCAGCGUGGUAAGUCCAUCCAAAUUGAAGAGGUUUAAUCUCAACGUUUUUUCAAAUUUUACCCUUAAUGCCAUGCAGGUGUAACGAUAGUUUUUUUUUACACUGGUUUAAACCUGAUCUUAUACUGGUUUACACUGGCUUUCAUGCAUGAAAUAUGACGAAAGUGAUCCAGAGUUCUCAAAGAUUGUUUUUAUUAUUCAAAAUUGUGCUACAAUAGAGAUCCGUUUUCAGUUUUUUCAGCAAUUCUGUUUUAUUUAAAAGUUAUUUAACCAUGCAACAAAGGAGUAAAUAGUAGGCUAUGAAUCCACAACUGACAAUAAGGAAUAGUAUGUCUUUUUAAAGUUAUGUUGAAUACAAAUACAAUAUGUCUGUGUAUGCAAGUUGGAAUUUAAUGGAAUACUGUAUUAUCAUUGUUGUUAAUAUGUUUGUUUAAUUAUAAUAGAUCAUUUGAAUCAUCUUUGAACAAAUACAAUAGAUACAAUAGCAAAUUACACAAACAAGACUUAAUGUAGUCUGGGUCCACUGUUAUAUGACAUACACAUAGGGGUACAGUUGGUUUUUGAAGGAUAAAGACUAUUGCUGUAGAUUUAUUGACACUACCCCAAAGUGAUUUGGAAAGCUUCAUCAUGAUAAACCAACCCAAAAUGGAGUUAAAUUAACUGUCAACUCGUGUGGACAUCAUGCAUCACCUCUCAUGAUAGAUGCUACACCUGUUCAUCCCAACGCUCGGACCAUUGUCAGCCCCAGAAAGUCUACAAGCAAGGACGAUGAAACACUCCAGAGGUUGGAAGAGAUAAAGAAAAUGCAUUUCCAAAUUAGAGAAUCUGAGUCUGAGACCGAUGAGGGCGAUGAUUAUGACGAUGAGGAUGGAGCUCAUCAGAAGAACACACCUGCUUAUCUGGACGGUACUUACAAUAGUUGUUUAUCUAUCUCCACCUGAUCAUAUAGUACUUCUGUGUUUUCCCAUGCGUUCUGGGGAGAACGUUCUGUACUAGUGAUUGACACGAUGGAGUUUAGACAGUGGUUUACAUUUUGUCCUCACACUAUGUAAGGGAUAAUGUAUAGAACGCCGGUCAUUAUCGGGAAAAUAAGCCCCGACAGGGCGAACAGCACCCCGACGCGAAGCGAAAAAAUAACUUAACACAGUGUGUCUUUUUAUAAUAUUAUUUUAAUUACAAUGCAUUUUUUACCAUUCGUGGUGUUAAAAAGCAGAGAAAUAGUUCGCCAAAGACGUUGAAGAUUCUUUAGAACACAGUUGCUCAACUGUCAGCUGAAACUCAAGAGCAGAUCAGCUGACGUCGCUAAGCAACGGAAUACACUGGUUGAUAAAUUACCGGACUACUUGCGGAGUGCUACGAAAGACGUGAAUCCGAGGCAAAAAGGCCACUUCCCUUGACAGCGGUCAAUUAUGCAUAGCAACGGUCAAAUAUGGAAAAAUAGUUGACCACAGAACGUUAGGAAGCCCCAUUCAAGUGAAUGGAGCAUUCUACAGCAUUAAGAAGAGCCGUGUAAUAAGUAAAUGUAUAUCCUUUUUGGUCACAUAGAAAGCUCAUAGGAUUCUCUGCAUUUUUGUACCCACAGGUGCUAGUCGGAAGAUGGGAAGCUACCGCCUUGCUGCAGCAGUCCCCAGAAGCAUGAACACCACUAGUAGAAGGAUUGGCAGGUCCUCACUUUCUGUCUCUCUCUCUCACACACACACACAAACACUCACUCAGUCUAUACAGCAUAUAGUCAGCUUUGCAGUAAACUUAAACAAGGUCUAAAAUCAGAAGUUGUUAAUGGAUGGUGAUGGUAAAUCUAUCUCUAAUGCUUAAAUAUAAUUAAAACAGAAUGAUCAUAACAUACCUGCCAAUUAGCAUUCUUCCCAUGGUGAAGUUAGAGCUUUUGUCAUUUCCUAUGUUGGACUUUUGUAUGUGUGCCUGUUCUGUUUUCAUUGUGAU
ensembl:lncRNA